UUCAGUUAACCCUAAAAAGGAAAUAAAGUAAGCCUAAUCAGUAUUACUAAAGAAGUUAGGUCAAAGGUGUAGCCCAUGGAGUGGAGCGAAAUGGGCUACAUUUUCUAUUACUAGAACAUUACGAAACUCUACGUGAAAUCCGUAGAAUAAAGGAGGAUUUAGUAGUAAAUUAAAACUAGAGUGUUUAAUUGAAUAGAGCAAUGAAGCACGCACACACCGCCCGUCACCCUCCUCAAUUUCUCAACAAUUAAAAGUACAUAACACCUAAUUACAAAAGAUUGAGAGAGACAAGUCGUAACAAGGUAAGUGUACUGGAAAGUGCACUUGGAAAAAUCAAAAU
rnacentral:ncRNA from 1 species